rnacentral:tRNA from 1 species
GCUUCCGUGGUGCAACAGGCAGCGCGUUAGGCUGUUGACCGAAAGGUUAGUGGUUCGAGAUUACUCGGGGGCG